AGCCACCAGCGAGAUUCGAACUCGCGACCCCUGGUUUACGAGACCAGUGCUCUAACCUCUGAGCUAUGGUGGC
rnacentral:tRNA from 1 species